UACGUAGGGGGCAAGCGUUGUCCGGAAUUAUUGGGCGUAAAGAGCGCGUAGGCGGUCCGAUAAGUCGGCUGUGAAAGUCCAGGGCUCAACCCUGGAAAGCCGGCCGAUACUGUCGGACUAGAGUCCGGAAGAGGCGAGUGGAAUUCCCGGUGUAGCGGUGAAAUGCGCAGAUAUCGGGAGGAACACCAAUGGCGAAGGCAGCUCGCUGGGACGAUACUGACGCUGAGGCGCGAAAGCGUGGGGAGCAAACAGG
rnacentral:rRNA from 1 species